GACGAACGCUGGCGGCGUGGAUUAGGCAUGCAAGUCGAACGGUAUCAUCCUUUCGGGGGUGAGAGAGUGGCGAACUGGUGAGUAACACGUAGGUUAUCUACCCUCAAGACGGGGACAACCCAGGGAAACUUGGGCUAAUACCGGAUGUGAGCAACUUUUAGUUGUUUGAAAGGUGGCGUAAGCUGUCGCGUUGGGGAUGAGCCUGCGUCCUAUUAGUUAGUUGGUGAGGUAACGGCUCACCUAGGCAAUGAUAGGUAGGCGGCCUUAACGGGUGGUCGCCCACACUGGGAUUGAGAUACGGCCCAGACUCCUACGGGAGGCAGCAGUCGAGAAUAGUCUACAAUGGUCGGAAGACUGAUAGUGCGACGCCGCGUGAACGAUGAAUUCCCGUUCGGGGUGUAAAGUUCUUUUAUAUGUGAGCAGUGCUUCUUAUAUUAACAGUAUGGGGAAGAGAUAUUAGCAUAUAGAAUAAGCAACGGCUAACUCCGUGCCAGCAGCCGAGGUAAAA
rnacentral:rRNA from 1 species